rnacentral:rRNA from 1 species
GACGAACGCUGGCGGCGUGCCUAAUACAUGCAAGUCGAACGGUUUAGUUCCAAGAGGCUUGCCUUUUGGAACUAGACAGUGGCGGACGGGUGAGUAACACGUAGGCAACCUACCUGUCAAACCGGGAUAACCCCGGGAAACCGAAGCUAAACCCGGAUAAGCUCCUUUUUCGCAUGAAGGGGGAGUGAACAGGUGCGAACUGAUGACAGAUGGGCCUGCGGCGCAUUAGCUGGUAGGUAGGGUAACGGCCUACCUAGGCGAUGAUGCGUAGCCGACGUGAGAGAGCGUACGGCCACACUGGGACUGAGAUACGGCCCAGACGCCUACGGGAGGCAGCAGUAGGGAAGCUUCGGCAAGGAGCGAAAGCCUGACCGAGCAACGCCGCGUGAGUGAGGAAGGCCUUCGGGUUGUAAAACUCUGUUGUUUGGGAAGAAGGGAAAGGGUAGGACCCUUAGGUGACGUUACCAAACGAGAAAGCCCCGGCAAACUACGG